AGCGAACGCUGGCGGCAGGCCUAACACAUGCAAGUCGAACGGACUCUUCGGAGUUAGUGGCGGACGGGUGAGUAACACGUGGGAACGUGCCUUUAGGUUCGGAAUAAGCCCGGGAAACUGGGUCUAAUACCGAAUGUGCCCUUCGGGGAAGGAUUAUCGCCUUAGUAGCGGCCCGCGUCUGAUUAGCUAGUUGGUGGUGUAAUGGACCACCAAGGCGACGAUCAGUAGCUGGUCUGAGAGGANGACCAGCCACAUUGGGACUGAGACACGGCCCAAACUCCUACGGGAGGCAGCAGUGGGGAAUCUUGCGCAAUGGGCGAAAGCCUGGCGCAGCCAUGCCGCGUGUAUGAUGAAGGUCUUAGGAUU
rnacentral:rRNA from 1 species